AAUCCCGACCCCAUGGUAGACACUCGACAGAAAUUUCAUACUAAAGUAAGUAUUUUAUAUUUUCUGGGUCUAAACAGAGCAGAAGUAUUGCUAAUGUGUUGUACAGAUUCUAUUGGACUGGUGAACUGUGUGGAUUUGUAUAUUUAACCCAGUUUAAUAUGGCCUGCGUUGUUCAGUCAGAGACAAGUAAAUCUGUUCUAAUGUUCAUUUAUUUUCCAUAGAUAAAACAAAUGUGUGCUUACACAUGAAUACGUACUUUAUGCCUUCAGAAUGGUGGAGAUUUGUCUCUUAACUAUUUUAAAUUUGGUUCUCUUCAACAGGUUGUGUUUGAGUUGUGCAGGCUUGUGUCACCUGACUUAAAGAAGGCAUUGUUUGAAGGGCUUGAUCAGCACCUCCCACGGCUCCUGCAGUUGUACAACACCGAGAGGCAGUGAAAUACCCGAAAUCCAACAUGUGAUGACCCGCAUUGAUCAAGAGACAGGAGCCUGUGGUUUCCUACUCUGAACGCUGUUCGAGACAUGUCGACUUCAGGAGGCCCCACUCCACCCUUCACCACCCUGUCAGUCACCCACCCAGCCAAUCACAUCACUCCUGUAGAGCUGCACCGACCAGAGAAACACAACACCAUGAACUAGGCCUACUGGAGUGAAAUGAUCGAAUGCUUUAAUCAGAUUGCUGAAGACUCAGAGUGCCGUGUGGUGGUGGUCUCGGGUGCAGGGAAAAUCUUCACUGCAGGUACAGCAGUAUGUCAUUUUUUUUCAGAAUUAGAAAUAUGCUUUAAUUUUUAUGUGGGUUUGCAGUGCUUUUAUUCUCAUAGCUGUUCAUUAUUAUAAUAAGCAAUGGCUCCAUGUGCUAAAACCACAACACUAAGUGAAGUUCAUUUAACAAGCAUCCUUAUUCGUUCCUAGUGCAGAAUGUAUUACACUUCGAGUUUAGUAGUUAGUAGUCUUUCUAAUUAGGGAUGUGCCCAGGUAUUCGAAUACACAUUUAACCUUUUGAGGUGCCAUUAGUUAAGUCAAGUGGGUUUUUAUUGUCAUUCCUCUAUAUAGCUUGUAUGCACUGGAACAAAGUGACAUUCCUUCCAGACCAUGCUGCAACACACUUUAUGUAGUCUUGCGUACUGUUCUGUGUGAGAUGAGUGCAAUACAAUAAAAACAAAAACAGCAAAUACACAGGACAGUAGAUACACAGAACAUGGACUGUACACUGUAAGCUACUGUGUAAUGUAGCAGCACAUGUAUUGCAGCAAUACUGGCAGCAGAAAUAGUUCCCUAGUAUAAAGUGACUGAUGCAGCUAUGUAAAGUCUUACUGGGUUAGUGCGGUGUGCAGUGGUAUGAGUCUUACUGGGUGAGGUGUUUGACUAGCCCAGGUGAGCACUGUAAUCUGACUGUCUCAGGGAAGAAACUGUUGCAGAGUCUGCUGCUGGUGGCACGGACGCUCCUGUACCUUCUGCCGGAUGGCAGGAGGGUGAAUAGUCUGUGAAAGGGGUCGUCCACAAUACUGGUGGCUUUGUGGAUGCACCGGUAGUUGAAGGAGGUGUGUGGUGGGUAGAGAGACCCGAUGAUCUUUCCAGCUGUCCUCACAAUUCACUGUAGGGUCUUGUGGUUGGAGGCGGUGCAGUUCCCGUACUACACCGUGAGACAGCUGGUCAGGACACUCUCGAUUGUCCCACUGUCGAAGGAGCAUAUUAUUCGAAUAUUCAGGUGUCUGGGUAUUGAUUGUACCCUUUAUUGCCAUGAAGUCAAUGAGAAAAUCUGGUCAGGUCUAGCAGAACAGUUACCCCAGACAUUGUGUAAGUUAUAGGUGUUCAUGUGCACUAGGGCUGCACGAUUAUGGCCAAAAUGAUAAUCCCGAUAUUUUGAUCAAUAUUGAGAUCUCGAUUAUUUAUCACGAUUAUUAAUUGAUUUUAGUGACAUUUUUUAU